UCUCUUACUAGUCACUAAUUAAUCAUACAACCCAUAAAUGAUGCAUCUGAAGCUAGCCCAGUACACCCAGCGCGGCGCCAGCCUUCAGCUCUGGAUCCUACCGCGAACGGCGCGGCCGGGCGGAGCGCCGGCGCCGCCACUAAACACGGUCCCGUACCGUCUGGUGGCAGGUCCUCGGGCUGUCCAGGCAAGAGCAAGGUGUAUUACUGUUUCUGAACUAUCAGGCACAAAGUAUGCCGAGCCUUGUUCAUCUGGUGAUUACUGUAUUGGAAUCUGAAGGAUAUUUAGCCUUGUCAUCAUGAUGGCUGUCAUCUUCCUUUUUCCUGAAUAUUAUGACCAGCUGAUUAAAGCCUGAAACUGAAGCUUGAUCUUACUUAAAAUUGAGCACGGCCUAAUUUUUAUGCUGCAGUCAGGCCUUGGAUAGAAAAUAAACCUGUUAUCCAGAUCAAGUCUGUCAUUGCCUUUACCAUGUGUCUUAAAGCUUUUGGUGGUCUCCUUUUCAUCAUCAGCAGCUAGUUCGGAGCGGUCGUACUGGGAAAUGAUAAAAUCUACUCUAGAUAGUUGACAGAGGGAGUACAUGCUAAGUUGACUUUUUUCCUGCGGAUUUGCUUAUCGUGAAGAUGCUUGCAAGGAUGCAGAGGGAGCGGAUCAUUUGAAGAGAUAGGAUGCCACUGUUUGGUGUUUUUAUGCAUUUUGGUUUGCUUGUAACUGUGUUUGCACUAGAUGGGAGUAAGUGACUUGGCAAGACGUGUAGGUGUUUUAAUUG